rnacentral:rRNA from 1 species
GAUCAUGGCUCAGGAUGAACGCUAGCGGCAGGCUUAACACAUGCAAGUCGAGGGGCAGCGGGGAGUAGCAAUACUCCGCCGGCGACCGGCGCACGGGUGCGUAACGCGUAUGCAACCUACCUUUAACAGGGGCAUAACACUGAGAAAUGGUACUAAUUCCCCAUAACAAUUCGANAAGGCAUCUUCUGGGUUAAAAACUCCGGUGGUUAAAGAUGGGCAUGCGUUGUAUUAGCUAGUUGGUGAGGUAACGG